rnacentral:rRNA from 1 species
UGGGGAAUAUUGCACAAUGGGCGCAAGCCUGAUGCAGCCAUGCCGCGUGUAUGAAGAAGGCCUUCGGGUUGUAAAGUACUUUCAGCGAGGAGGAAGGCGGUAAGGUUAAUAACCUUAUCGAUUGACGUUACUCGCAGAAGAAGCACCGGCUAACUCCGUGCCAGCAGCCGCGGUAAUACGGAGGGUGCAAGCGUUAAUCGGAAUUACUGGGCGUAAAGCGCACGCAGGCGGUCUGUCAAGUCGGAUGUGAAAUCCCCGGGCUCAACCUGGGAACUGCAUUCGAAACUGGCAGGCUAGAGUCUUGUAGAGGGGGGUAGAAUUCCAGGUGUAGCGGUGAAAUGCGUAGAGAUCUGGAGGAAUACCGGUGGCGAAGGCGGCCCCCUGGACAAAGACUGACGCUCAGGUGCGAAAGCGUGGGGAGCAAGCA